UUGGAGGGCAAGUCUGGUGCCAGCAGCCGCGGUAAUUCCAGCUCCAAUAGCGUAUAUUAAAGUUGUUGCAGUUAAAAAGCUCGUAGUUGAAUUUCGGGAUUCAUCCGUUGGUCGGGCUUCACGGUCCGUACUGGUGUGAUGGGUUCCUACCUUCUGAAUAACCGGCAUGCCAUUAAUUUGGUGCGCCGGGGAAGCAGAACUAUUACCUUGAAAAAAUUAGAGUGCUUAAAGCAGGCAAGUGCCUGAAUAGGUUAGCAUGGAAUAAUAAAAUAGGACGGCAUGGUUCUAUUUUGUUGGUUUCUAGGAUCACCGUAAUGAUUAAUAGGGAUAGUUGGGGGCAUUAGUAUUCAAUUGUCAGAGGUGAAAUUCUUGGAUUUAUUGAAGACUAACUUCUGCGAAAGCAUUUGCCAAGGAUGUUUUCAUUAAUCAAGAACGAAAGUUAGGGGAUCGAAGACGAUCAGAUUCCGUCGUAGUCUUAACCAUAAACUAUGCCGACUAGGGAUCGGACGAUGUUAAUUUUUUAAUGACUCAUUCGGCGCCUUACGGGAAAC
rnacentral:rRNA from 1 species